rnacentral:rRNA from 1 species
GACGAACGCUGGCGGCGGGCUUAACACAUGCAAGUCGAACGGAAAGGCCCUGCUUUUGUGGGGUGCUCGAGUGGCGAACGGGUGAGUAACACGUGAGUAACCUGCCCUUGACUUUGGGAUGACUUCAGGAAACUGGGGCUAAUACCGGAUAGGAGCUCCUGCUGCAUGGAGGGGGUUGGAAAGUUUCGGCGGUUGGGGAUGGACUCGCGGCUUAUCAGCUUGUUGGUGGGGUAGUGGCUUACCCAGGCUUUGACGGGUAGCCGGCCUGAGAGGGUGACCGGCCACAUUGGGACUGAGAGACGGACCAGACGCCAACGGGGGGCAGCAGUGGGGAAUAUUGUACAAUGGGCGGAAGCCUGAUGCAGCAACGCCGCGUGCGGGAUGACGGCCCUCGGGUUGUAAACCGCUUUCGCCUGUGACGAAGCGUGAGUGACGGUAAUGGGUAAAGAAGCACCGGCUAACUACGUG